GAUGAACGCUGGCGGCGUGCUUCAAAAAUACAAGUCGAACGGAAAAGCCCUGCAUUAGUGAUGUACAAGAAAAAAAAACGAAUGAGUAACACGUACGUAACCUGAACUUGACUUUGGGAUAACUUCACGAAACUGGGGCUAAUACCGGAUAGGAGCUCCUGCUGCAUGGUGGGGGUUGGAAAGUUUCGGCGGUUGGGGAUGGACUCGCGGCUUAUCAGCUUGUUGGUGGGGUAGUGGCUUACCAAGGCUUUGACGGGUAGCCGGCCUGAGAGGGUGACCGGCCACAUUGGGACUGAGAUACGGCCCAGACUCCUACGGGAGGCAGCAGUGGGGAAUAUUGCACAAUGGGCGGAAGCCUGAUGCAGCAACGCCGCGUGCGGGAUGACGGCCUUCGGGUUGUUAACCGCUUUCGCCUGUGACGAAGCGUGAGUGACGGUAAUGGGUAAAGAAGCACCGGCUAACUACGUG
rnacentral:rRNA from 1 species